rnacentral:SRP_RNA from 1 species
UCCAGGUCCCGGAGGGCGUAGACCCGCUAAUCCCGUCAGGACCGAGAGGUAGCAGCGGCAUGUGGUGCUUUACGUUGCUCCGUCAGACCUGGGGUA